UGAGGAAUAUUGGUCAAUGGGCGAGAGCCUGAACCAGCCAAGUCGCGUGAAGGAAGACUGCCUUAUGGGUUGUAAACUUCUUUUAUACAGGAAUAAAAAGGCUUACGUGUAGGCCAUUGCAAGUACUGUAUGAAUAAGCAUCGGCUAACUCCGUGCCAGCAGCCGCGGUAAUACGGAGGAUGCGAGCGUUAUCCGGAUUUAUUGGGUUUAAAGGGUGCGCAGGCGGGCUUUUAAGUCAGCGGUGAAAUCUGGACGCUUAACGUCCAAACUGCCGUUGAAACUGGGAGUCUUGAGUAUGGAUGAAGUAGGCGGAAUUCGUUGUGUAGCGGUGACAUGCAUAGAUAUAACGAGGAACUCCGAUUGCGUAGGCAGCUUACUAAGCCAUAACUGACGCUCAUGCACGAAAGCGUGGGGAUCAAACAGGAUUAGAUACCCUGGUAGUCCACGCCGUAAAACGAUGAUUACUAGUUGUAUGCGAUAUGAUAGUAUGUGACUAAGCGAAAGCGAUAAGUAAUCCACCUGGGGAGUACGCCGGCAACGGUGAAACUCAAAGGAAUUGGCGGGGUCAUAGCUG
rnacentral:rRNA from 1 species